CGUGGUCCAGGCGCCGGGGUUCUACUGGAGGUCCUGAUGUAUAUUGAUGGGAGCCCAGGGCAACAAAAUCAUUAGUUCUGUAUCCAGCAUUAGCCACAUCCUGAUAAGGGGAGGAAGCCCUGACCAUCAGAAUAUCCUAUACUGGCUCAGAGGAGAAGGAUGAAGGGAGACAUGCUGGGUGCCUCUUUCUUCUGUGGUGCCAUCCUCUAUGACUUGCAUGAUCCAAGUCAUGCUUUAGUGAAGUUUGAAGAUCCAAAGGAAUAAAUGAAUGAAACGAGAACAUUUUCCACAAUAGUUCUGGUAGAGAAUGAUUCAAUCAACUUCUGGGAACUCUAAGUUUGUAAAUCUUAAACGUGUAAAUCCUACAGAUGGUUACUCUCAUUUUACCAUUACCUCAAAUAGUUACCAGAAAUAUUAAACAGAUAAAGUCUAUCUGGAGAAGGUCCAAAUUCAUUUUUGAGAAACCCUACAGAAACUCAAUGCAGUAUGUCCUAACAAAUAUAAAACCCCAAACCCUACUGGGCUGAAUUAAUCCCUACUUUGCUUGAAUGUUCAAUGUAGUUUACUCCAACCAAAUGAAUUUUUACCAUUUAAUUCUUGUGCCCAUCCAUUAUUCUCAUUUCUAAAAACAAAGGCAGUAAACAAACCAUUCAAUUCAGUGUGGGAGUUGAAUAAAACCUUCUAAAUCAUGACACUGGUUUCAGAAGCACUCAUUUUCUUCUCAUAUGAAUCAUUCAAGUCUGAUUAAAGGUGAGAGGGUGAGGUGGAGGGAAAACCCUUUUUGUUGUGUCUGGAAAUGAAAAGCAGAGAAAAUAAAGUUUGCUAUUUAUAUCACUCCUAAAUCUAAGUCAGUAGAAGGGGGAAGUUUCUGUCAUCAUUGAUCAAUGAAUAAUACAAAACAUGUUGCACAGACAGGAUGUAUGCUAACCCAAGUGGAAGGUAAUUCAGUAAUAAGUAAUAAAGUAUUUCAGGGAUAAUGGUUAACAGAAUUUCACUCUAUUGGUUCUAGAAUUGUGGAAAUAGCCCAGACUGGACCUCGUAUUGAUUCCUGAAGGUCUCUACUGACUCUCCAGGUUUCCCUUAGAAGGAUCUCUGCAGAGUAGCUUUAAUUCUGAAGCUUUCGUAGGUAGGAUCUCUCUAGAGACCCUUGGGUCUGUUGACUCAAUUCGGCACAUUUUGGAUUAUCCUAGAGUAGACCUAUGCUGAUCUUUGUCAUUGCAAAAUUAAUAACACUGUGUGGUAGGUGGAUAAUGGCUUCCAAAGGCAUGUUCACAUCCUAAUCCCCAAACCUGUUAAUUUUAUCUUUAUUUGAAAAAAAGGUCUUUGCAGGUGUGAUUUAGGAUCCUGAGAUUAUGCUGGAUUAUUGAGGUGGGUCCUGAAUGCCAACACAAGUAUCUUUAAAAGAGAGGUGAGACACAUACAGAUAUACGGAGACAGAGGCAGUUUGGAGAGACCAAGGCCUCAUGCCAAGGAAUAUGGGUAGGAACGAUUUCUCUCUUGGAGCUACUAGAGGGAGCGAGGCUUGUCAACACUUUGAUUUUGGACUUUCGGCCUUUAGAACCCUCAUAAAGUUUCUGAGUCACCAAAUUUGUGGUAAUUUGUUACAGUAGUCCUAGGAACUAAUACAUACUGCCUAGCUAGGACAAUAGUAUCUUUUUAGAAGAUAUUAAGAAAGAUGAUGUAAAAAUAAUGAGAACCCAGUUAACAGUAAUUUACCUUCCUAAGAUAUUUUUAUGGGGUAAAGCACCAAGUUGUCACAUUAAAAAAAAAUGUUGCAAGAAGUCAAUUCUGACUCCAUGUUCAAACUCUUUGACUUGCUUUCUGUUGUUUUUGUUAUUAUAAUCAUACAUAAAGGUCUGCCUCAGAGAAUCCUGCCCCUUACCUGUUCAACUAUAGUGCUUUUGUUCAGAACUCUGUCCACCUGUAGAUGAAAGAAAAGAAGUAAACAGAUUCCCUGGAGAAGGCUCGCCAUUCUAGAAGAUAUCUGCAAGAUUAAUGGCCUUACUUCACUUCCUCAUCUCUGAUCCAUAAAAAGAAACCUGGCAUCCAGACCCAAAUAAGAUGGUUAAGACAUUAGUCUGCCAUCUUCUCAGUCAGUUGACUUACUGAAUAACAUUGUAUUUCUUACCACUUCAGCUCUUGCUCUCAUUGGUCUGCUGUGCAGUAAGCAGAGCAAGCUUGGACUUGGUAACAUUAAGAGGAACAAAAAUGUUUGUAUCAUUGCAAAGGAGAAAUAUUUCAAUGAUACAUAUUUGAAAGAUGCCUUGUGGACUUGGUACAGCUGUCAACACUGGUUCUGAAACAGACUUUAUACAUGCCUCACUUUAUUGCAAUUUUGCAGAUACAGAGUUUCUUAGAAAUUGUUUUUGGCAACGCUGUAUCCAGUAACUCUAAGGGCACCAUUUUUUCCAGCAGCAUUUGCUCACAUUUUGCUUGCUGUCACAUUCUGAUAAUUCUUGUAAUAUUUAAACUUUUCC
ensembl:lncRNA